rnacentral:rRNA from 1 species
UACGUAGGUGGCAAGCGUUGUCCGGAAUUAUUGGGCGUAAAGCGCGCGCAGGCGGUCUCUUAAGUCUGAUGUGAAAGCCCCCGGCUCAACCGGGGAGGGUCAUUGGAAACUGGGAGACUUGAGUGCAGAAGAGAAGAGUGGAAUUCCACGUGUAGCGGUGAAAUGCGUAGAGAUGUGGAGGAACACCGGUGGCGAAGGCGGCAUCCUGGACCGGUAUUGACGCUGAGGCGCGAAAGCCAGGGGAGCAAACGGG